GGAUGAACGCUGGCGGCGUGCCUAAUACAUGCAAGUCGAGCGAACGGACGAGAAGCUUGCUUCUCUGAUGUUAGCGGCGGACGGGUGAGUAACACGUGGAUAACCUACCUAUAAGACUGGGAUAACUUCGGGAAACCGGAGCUAAUACCGGAUAAUAUUUUGAACCGCAUGGUUCAAAAGUGAAAGACGGUCUUGCUGUCACUUAUAGAUGUAUCCGCGCUGCAUUAGCUAGUUGGUAAGGUAACGGCUUACCAAGGCAACGAUGCAUAGCCGACCUGAGAGGGUGAUCGGCCACACUGGAACUGAGACACGGUCCAGACUCCUACGGGAGGCAGCAGUAGGGAAUCUUCCGCAAUGGGCGAAAGCCUGACGGAGCAACGCCGCGUGAGUGAUGAAGGUCUUCGGAUCGUAAAACUCUGUUAUUAGGGAAGAACAUAUGUGUAAGUAACUGUGCACAUCUUGACGGUACCUAAUCAGAAAGCCACGGCUAACUACGUG
rnacentral:rRNA from 1 species